rnacentral:lncRNA from 1 species
GCCGGGCGGUGCAGAGGGGCGGGGCCGCGGGGCCUGGAAGCAGCCUCCGGGAUCUGCAAGUCUGGAAAGGCCACGUUGUGGACCUUGGCGCAGAGGUUAUGGGGGCGACCCGGAGCGGAUGGUUUCAGGAAAACUAGAACCCACCCUCAUGGCCUGAACAACUGGAGAGAAGAGGAUCGCAGCAAUUUAAAGCCAGCGGCAAGGAUCACAGUCCUGGGGAAUCACCUGGCGGUCUUGUGAAACUGCAGCUUCUAAUGGGCAAGUCAGAGGGGAAGCCUGAGACAUGGCAUUUCCAGCACGUUCGGGGAGUGAAGAUGCUGUCGGCUGCCACCCUCCCUGCAAGGAGCCAGGGGAUAGAUGACCUCUACGCAAACUGUGAGAGCUUAAAAUAACUGAUAGUGAAAAACAGUUACAGAAGCUCUAGGCCGGGCACGGUGGCUAAUGCCUGUAAUCCCAGCACUUUGGGAGGCCGAGGAGGAUGGAUUGCCAGAACUCAGGAGUUUGAGACCAGCCUGGGCAACACGGUAAAACCCUGUCUCUACGACAAAAUAAAACAAACAAAAAUAAAAGCCACGCAUGGUGGCGUGUGCUUGUAGUCCCAGCUACUCAGGAGGCUCAGGUGGGACAAUCGCUUGAGCAUGGAAGGAGGAGGUUGCAGUGAGCCAAGAUCGCACCACUGUACUCCAACCUGAGUGACAGAGUGAGACCCAAUCUCAAAAAAAAAAAAAAGCAGUAAAUCCAGGGCCCAAAAGCUCCCCUCAAUGGGAAGUAGAAUCUCUUUCUCCACCUCUUCAAUAUGGCUGGCCCUGGAACUUCCCUUGGCACACAGAAUGCAGCAGAAUUGGCUUCAUGUUGUUUCUAAGCCUUGGCCUCAGAGGCCUUGCAUGCUUCCUAACCCUGGCUCUAGGAAACUUGCUGCUGUCAUGUAAGCAAGCCCAGGCUAACCUACUGAAUGUUGGUGUGUCCCAGUCAAAUCCAGCACUGCAACCAAUAGCCAGGCAGCCACCAGACAUGUGAGUGGGGCCACCUCACACCAGCCAACCUCCACCAAGUCAUCAGAUGUAUGAGUGAGAACAGCCCAGAACAACUGAGCCCGUCCAGACCAGCGGAACAACCAAGCUGACCAGUAGACUUAGGAGCAGUAAACAGAUGAUUGUUAUGGAAGCCAUUCUGUUUAGGGUGUGUGUGUUAUUGCUUGCAUCCAAAUACAUCCUAUCUCAUCUAAUGAGAAAAGGCCCUGCUCAAGGGCUUUUGCAGCUGUAGUUGGGCGCCGGAAGUGUCUUUGUGGUCAUUUCUUACUCCAUACACGGGGAGAUCAAGGCUCAGACCAGGUAGUGUGACUGUGGACAACACUUUCCUUACCCCUCUGUGACACUUAAAUCAAUGAAGCAGAUUCACAGAAGCAUGCAUGCUCACUGAACACAGUAUUUGCAUUCCUACCUCCAAACCUUUGCUCCACCCAUGCAUCCAGUAAGAAUGCCUACUUCCCUCCUCUCCUCCAUCGAGUUCUUUCUUUGAGUUCUACCUUCCCUAGUCUUCCUCCACUGCACCAACCCACGGUGAUCCCUGUCUCUUCCAAAUGCUUUGUAACAUGGUAGGCAUCACUCACUUGUGACUCAUUGGACCAUUUUAAAACUUGGUUUUCUGUGUCUCUUUUCCAACAAAAUUACAAAUUCUUUGAGGGUAAAAGUCAGGCCUAAUAGUUCUCUGUACUCCUAGUAGUGCCAGUGUGGUAAAAAUUUAACUUGACAAUUAGCAAAACCAAUAAAUUCCUUACACUAUUCUGUUCCUGUAGGUAAUCAGUAUAUGAAUAUGGAUUCCUAUGUGAUGAUUUUCUGGUCUAUUUUGUCCCUUUUUUUUUUUUGUUACUUUAACCAGGCCAUAACAUAAAGGUUAUGCCAUUUGUUACUGUCAAGCUUAAUUAAGCCCAUUAUAAUUCGUUAACCCCUGUGCUUGCUUUGUAAUUAACAUUGAUUAACACAAACAAGUACAAAAUAGGCCAUCAGCACUUUCCAGAAGUGCUGAUUACAAUUACAUUGGUAAUUCAAUACGGUAUAGAAGAUGGCAGGAUAGUAACUUGCACUCUGUUUACAUAAGGAGACAAAUGCUACCAUGCAAAACUAAGCCAAGAAACAAAAUACUUUCCUCAUCCAACUCACUGAUUAAACCCUUACCCUGUUAACUCACCCUAUGACUGUGUAAACCUCCAGUAAGAUUAUUGAAGGCACAGCUCCAAGUAACUUGCUUAAUUGCAUUCCUGGGACAAAAGAGGGAAGCGCUUCAAAGCUGACAGACAGAUGGUAGAGUGUCCAGUCACAGCAAAGCAGGCCCCGAGGCUCAUGACAGACAACUCCAGGGCUGAGAUCUCAUUUGUAGCUCUGGGAUAAAGUCCAGGGUUUGAUGGCAGCAGGCUGAAGUGUAAAGAUGCUCAACAAUGCGCACCCCAGAGACACUGAAUCUGAAAAAGCUUAGAGUGAAUAAAAAUCUGGAAAUGAACUCUGUCUGUCUAUUCACCAUUCCCCCCAUAAAAAAAUUCCUAUAUUCCGGAUGGUGUUCAAGUUCCCUUUCCACAGGACCUCAGCAGUCAGGGAGGUGCUCCUGCAAUCUAUGUGAAGGAGAUUUCACCAUGCCCACAUGGGAAUACAGUAGAUUGCCAGUAGGGAUGCCACACCUUUGCAUUUCCUCGUAUUUCCAGGAACAAAGCUGGGGUGCCUAGGAGCUGCAGCAGUUUUUCUUCUGUGUAAAAUAAGCAAGCAGGACUCUGCCCCACUGCACUCCAGGGAAGGAUUAAGAGAAUUGAUAUCAUCCAAAUCAAUUGGCCCUGUGCAGAUGACUUGAUAAUGAGGCCAUUGAGUUUUUAUGGUUCACUAUUAUUGCUACAAAAAUUAUGCUGCAGAAAUCAUUCAAAUGCUCAAAAAGGAGCAUUAGUACGAAACUGGGUGUUCCAAAGUUGUUGCUGAGAGGUGUGUAAUGUUCCUGAAGAUCCCCAAGGCACUAAGACUUCUCUGUACAUGAAUGACUCAUAGAGAAGAAAUACACCAGAUGAAAAUAUAUGGAGAAGUUUGCCGAAUGUCAUAUAACUU